CAGUAGCUAAGUGGAUAAUGCGAUGGCGUUUAAGGCGAACGGUCCUUGGUUCGAGUCCAAGGGUGAA
rnacentral:tRNA from 1 species